rnacentral:sRNA from 12 species
GUACACCAGCGUCCAAAUCUUGCCUUUGGCAUUUCCCUGUACGUUAGCGAUGAUGGGCAACCUAGCAAUGUGUGUACCACCUGUGGCGUCAGAGUUCCCUGAUCAGGAUGGCGCCUGGGU